rnacentral:rRNA from 1 species
CGGGGGGGGCGUGCUUACCAUGCAGUCGAACGGUGAAGAGAGCUUGCUCUCUGGAUCAGUGGCGAACGGGUGAGUAACACGUGAGCAAUCUGCCCCUGACUCUGGGAUAACAGCUGGAAACAGCUGCUAAUACCGGAUACGAGUUGCGAAGGCAUCUUCAGCAGCUGGAAAGAAUUUCGGUCAGGGAUGAGCUCGCGGCCUAUCAGCUUGUUGGUGAGGUAAUGGCUCACCAAGGCGUCGACGGGUAGCCGGCCUGAGAGGGUGACCGGCCACACUGGGACUGAGACACGGCCCAGACUCCUACGGGAGGCAGCAGUGGGGAAUAUUGCACAAUGGGCGAAAGCCUGAUGCAGCAACGCCGCGUGAGGGACGACGGCCUUCGGGUUGUAAACCUCUUUUAGCAAGGAAGAAGCGAAAGUGACGGUACUUGCAGAAAAAGCGCCGGCUAACUACGUGCCAGCAGCCGCGGUAAUACGUAGGGCGCAAGCGUUAUCCGGAAUUAUUGGGCGUAAAGAGCUCGUAGGCGGUUUGUCGCGUCUGCUGUGAAAACCCGAGGCUCAACCUCGGGCCUGCAGUGGGUACGGGCAGACUAGAGUGCGGUAGGGGAGAUUGGAACUCCUGGUGUAGCGGUGGAAUGCGCAGAUAUCAGGAAGAACACCGAUGGCGAAGGCAGAUCUCUGGGCCGUAACUGACGCUGAGGAGCGAAAGGGUGGGGAGCAAACAGGCUUAGAUACCCUGGUAGUCCACCCCGUAAACGUUGGGAACUAGUUGUGGGGUCCAUUCCACGGAUUCCGUGACGCAGCUAACGCAUUAAGUUCCCCGCCUGGGGAGUACGGCCGCAAGGCUAAAACUCAAAGGAAUUGACGGGGACCCGCACAAGCGGCGGAGCAUGCGGAUUAAUUCGAUGCAACGCGAAGAACCUUACCAAGGCUUGACAUAUAGAGGAAACGUCUGGAAACAGUCGCCCCGCAAGGUCUCUAUACAGGUGGUGCAUGGGUUGUCGUCAGCUCGUGUCGUGAGAUGUUGGGUUAAGUCCCGCAACGAGCGCAACCCUCGUUCUAUGUUGCCAGCACGUAAUGUGGGACCUCAUGGGAUACUGCCGGGUCACUCGGAGGAGGUGGGGAUGACGUCAAAUCAUCAUGCCCCUUAUUGUCUUGGGGCUUCA